GAUGAACGCUAGCGGCAGGCCUAACACAUGCAAGUCGAGGGGCAGCGCGGGUAGCAAUACCCGGCGGCGACCGGCGCACGGGUGCGUAACACGUAUGCAAUCUGCCCUGUACAGGAGAAUAACCCGGAGAAAUCCGGCCUAAUGCUCCAUAGCGCGUAGGAGCGGCAUCGCCCUUACGCUAAAGAGCCAUCGGUACAGGAUGAGCAUGCGCCCUAUUAGCUAGUUGGCGGGGUAACAGCCCACCAAGGCCACGAUAGGUAGGGGUUCUGAGAGGAAGGCCCCCCACACUGGUACUGAGACGCGGACCAGACUCCUACGGGAGGCAGCAGUGAGGAAUAUUGGUCAAUGGGCGCAAGCCUGAACCAGCCAUGCCGCGUGCAGGACGACGGCCCUACGGGUUGUAAACUGCUUUUGCACGGGAGCAAACCCGGCCCCGCGGGGCCGGUUGAGAGUACCGUGCGAAUAAGGAUCGGCUAACUCCGUGCCAGCAGCCGCGGUAAUACGGAGGAUCCGAGCGUUAUCCGGAUUCAUUGGGUUUAAAGGGUGCGUAGGCGGCUUGGUAAGUCAGCGGUGAAGGGCUGGGGCUCAACCCCAGCAGCGCCGUUGAAACUGCCGAGCUUGAGUACGGAUGAAGCCGGCGGAAUGCGCAGUGUAGCGGUGAAAUGCAUAGAUAUUGCGCAGAAGGCCGAUUGCGAAGGCAGCUGGCUAAUCCGGAACUGACGCUGAGGCACGAAAGCGUGGGGAUCAAACAGGAUUAGAUACCCUGGUAGUCCACGCCGUAAACGAUGAUAGCUCGCUGCCGGCGAUACACAGUCAGUGGCCAAGCGAAAGCGGUAAGCUAUCCACCUGGGGAGUACGUUCGCAAGAAUGAAACUCAAAGGAAUUGACGGGGGCCCGCACAAGCGGAGGAACAUGUGGUUUAAUUCGAUGAUACGCGAGGAACCUUACCCGGGCUCGAACGGCUUCUGAAUGCGGGCGAAAGCCCGCAGCCAGCAAUGGCAGGA
rnacentral:rRNA from 1 species